AUGGCUCUCCCUCUUCCAUUGUUCUUUCAGGGGCAAAAGCUGACUUGGCAGAAGCUGUCUGAUACUGUGGGUCAUCCUGACCUUGAGGCUGCGCAACGUGCCCUGGCAGAUUCAGAGUGUGUCCUGCUAGAACCCAUGUGCUGGACUCACAUUUUCAAGCAUGCAUGCAGCACGCAUUCAUUACUGCAUCUGAUGGAAGCACAAAGGGAGAGACAAAGAUGCAGAGAACAAUGGUAAACAAUUGGUGAAAUGUGUUGGCAAAUUGAGUUCAAUGCUGUCUAUAACAAAUGGCAGCUAUUUUGUGUGUGUGUCAUCUAAAUAAAAAUAAAGUGGAUUAACAAACAACUGUACCUGGCUGAGGGAAGACUGCCGCCAUUUUUUUAAUAAGUCAGUUAUUUUAUUGUGUAAUUUAUAAUAAAUUAUUUAGACUACUUUCCUACCACAUAUUUCCAGUAGAGGGAUUUAGAAAGCUAAUUUUAAGACCAGGCAUGGUGGCUCACGCCUGUAAUCAUAGCACUUUGGGAGGCUGAGGCAGGUGGAUCACUUGAGGUCAGGAGUUUGAGACCAGCCUGGCCAAUGUGGUGAAACCCUGUCUCUAGUAAAAAUACAAAAAUUAGUAGGAAAUCACUUGAACCUGGGAGGUGGAGGUUGCAGUGAGCUGAGAUCAUGCCAUUGCACUCCAGCCUGGGAGACAGAGCAAUACUCAGUCCCAA
rnacentral:lncRNA from 1 species